GGGAAAGCGGGAAAUGCUUGUUUUUUUUUGGGGUAUGGUGUCAGCUCAAAUGAAACAGUUUGGUAGAACCAAAAUGGAGUGGUCCAUUCAAGCUGUUUUAAAUAAUAAGCCCUAAUGGAUAGUCCUUUAGAAAGGGAAGAUAUGACGAGUUUCUUUGGAAGAGUAUGCACCUGCAAAAUAUUUCGAAGCAAGAGACUUUCAUCUGCCCUUUUCCUGGGUGUUUAGAAAAUGAUUUCAUCUGCAACCCUUUUUGUCCAUUUCAACCUUCUUAUUUUACUUCUUUUGGUGCAGCGAAGGACAAGAUCUGCUUAGAACUAUAAACCCUAUCCGCUGCCAGACUACUUACAAUAGCAUGCCACCUCCCAUGGAUGAGGUGCAGAUCGCCAAGGAGAGGGCACAGGAGAUUGUGGCACGGCUUAUCAACAACAGUAACAACGGCGAUAGUAAUGCCCUAGAGGCCGACCACCCCAGGCCUCUUGCGGCUACUACCGGUGACCAUUCUGUUCUUAACUUUUCUUCCAGUCCAGGUCAAUCUUUGUAACCUCGCGGCACUUUUUCUUACUUCUAGCUCAGGAAUCUACACUACCUAUUGCGUUCUACAAGUGACGCUGUGUUUUAAUUUUUUUCAAUUUUGUUUUCUUUUGCUAGUCUUUUCAGGAUCCAAUACUCUGUACAAUCAUUCUAUUUGUAUCAUGAAAAUGUUUUCAUUUUUUUCUUAUUGGGUGGAGGGUAUUAGCUGCCCUCUGCAGCAAUGCUAAAUAUGUUUGGCCGUAAGCUGAUGCAAGACAGACACUCUUGCCUACAGCUUCACACAUACAAAACUCACUCAAUGUGUCUUCCUUUGCCUCGCCAUCCCCAAGUAUCAAUUGACUGGGGACGGAGACCGCCGCAGGGGCGUAGGGUAAAGUCUAGCAAUUAGGUAUGAAGCUUGCCGUGCUAUCCCAUGAGACUCCAAACUACUUUGACUUUUCUAAGUGGGGUCGCAGGGUAACGAGGAGUUGGGCAAGAAUGAACGAUCGAUAAUCGGUAAAGUGCGCUAGGAAGGGGCCAGUCAAGACUCUCAACAUUCACAUACAGAUCCUCUCUUCUUAAUUUGCAUUCAACUAUACAAAAUAAGAUUGCAAAUUAGCUGCAACACACUUAUACUAAACACCCAUAACUUUUUCAAAAACUAAAACAAUACUUUGUUGGCCUUCUCAAUGGCCUCUAUGCUAUCUCUCACUUCAAAUUAAAUUCCAUUAUUUUCUUAUUCACAUAACCAUACCACAAAACCUGAUUUGCUUUGCAUCUCCUCACUAGGCACUUUCACUCUUCUUAAUUUUUCAAGCAGCACCUGUUCUCUUUAUCAACAGUGCUAGAAAUGUUGUUUACUCAAUAUUUAAAACCCACACCUCCUCUUAAUUUUUCUAUCUACGCAACCCACAUCUCCCUUCCUUGGCCACGCAAAUUUCUCUAACCUGCCCCACUUCGUAGCCUAACUUGCAAUGAUGCUUAAAUAACUUUAUAAUCUUUCAAAGGUGUCUUUAGACUUUCCACUUCCCAAUUCUCUCUCAAACUAUUCUACUUGAAUUUUCUGUCAAAUGGCAUUCGCUUGAAAGUUAGAAAGACUUAUGCCUUGCUGGAAAUAUGUACCCUGCUCCAAAUCUGAUGAAGGUUGCGGAAUUUGGCUCUACGCCUGCCAAUUUCAAUUGCUUGAAAUUCUAUAAAGACUCUCCUACAAAUCCAUUCUACGUAUAUCCUUCAGUCUUUGUAAUCGUUGAGGCAUUCUGUCAAACAGUUUACCAUGCCCUUUCUAUGAUUCCACAUUUUGCAUACACCCUGUUACAGGUUGCACGGGCCUUGACAAGGGUUAUGGUUUUUGGCUUUGCACUUGCCAAUUUAUUUGCUUGAAGCAUCUAAAGUCUCUUCCAUAAGUCCAUUUUGUGCAUAGUUUACAAUCAUUGUAGUCUGUGGGACAACAUUUUGUCAAACAGUCUAUGUGCCUUGUCUGUGUUCCCACAUUUUACUUCAUUCAACAAAUUGUGUGAUAAGAUCCAUGUGCCUCUUCUAUUUAGAGUCUAGACUGAUGCAAAUUGACAGAGAGAUGCCAAUGAGACCAAGAAACACAAAAACUAAACCAAACCUGAGAAAACAACCAAAUUGGAAACAGAUUAUUUUUUUGGUGGUGCUGAUUGCUCGUCCUCCAGCGUGCCCCUGCACCAGAAGCCUUUCCUGUAGUGGUGUGAGUUACGCCUGCCUUUCCAUAUGAAUUGUUUGAGGAGCACUGUUUUAAGCUAGCUAUAACUAGCAUGGAUACUUUGUGUAGAUUUUUUCCAGCAAUAGGUUCAAAUACUUAUCAAAGGCUUAAUUUUUUUCUGUUUGUGGCUAAUAUUUGGCAAUAUGGAGUUUUUCUGUUAUUACAGUAGCAUGUAAAUCUCUAUUCUUACAGCUAGGAGGUUUUAUUGUAGUAUAACAGCUUGUUUGUAAGCUCUAGUUACUCAAAAAUAAGCAUGACUAAAUUUUGAUUUGGGUUAUGUGAUUCAAAACAGAUUUCACCAGGAUUUUUAUAUGUACAUUUAACAAAUUUUUAAAUUUUUCAUAUGUACAGCUUCAGCCCAAAAGGAAUAAGUUUGUUCAUAAAUGUUACCUUCGCAUUUCUAAUAAUGUUCGUAUGAUGGUUCAUAAGUUGCAUUUAGGCCAAAGUCAAACAGUAGACUGCACAAGUGACCUAUCACAUGACAUGUUUUCUAGACUAGUUAAAGCUUGAUGUCUACUGAAUGAUAUGUAAUAAUAGCAUUAAAUCACAUAGCUAAAUAACAGUCUGGCAAUGUACACACGACUAAACUUAAUUUAGUCAGCCUUUGAAUUCCAUAUCAGUAACUUUAUGCUUUAUAUACAUUUCAACCAAGAGAAGUCUAGAUUUAAUUUUAGGAAUAUGUAUUGGCCAUUUUCUCUUGGUGUCUGUCUUGUCUAUUAUUGCUUGUGUGAGUGCAGGCAAAUCAAGCUGUCGAUAGAGUGGAGGUUUUGUGGUCACUUGUGCAAUUAUUGCAGCCUACCUCCAAGAAUAGAUCAGUAACACCUAUUCAGCCUCUUUCACUCAGGUCUCAGGGCAUUGAAAAUAAUUCUCAAUCAUACCAUAUGCUCUAGCAAUUUCUGCAGCACUCCUCCUUUGACAUAUCUGACACAUGAAACAGUACUUAUGAUUUAUUAGAUUCUGUUUAGGUGCUAGUCUAACAGUUCAGAAAAUCAGAAGAUUCUUUGUAGAAGUUACAUUGAUUCUGUUUUCCUGUUGAAUUAAAAAUGGUACUUCUAUUGAAAAGAAUAACACUCUUGAUUGAAACUUUUGUUUUACUUGUAGCAUGUUUGUGGUUGUUGUUAUUAAAUUGUCAUUCUGGGCAAAGUCUGGGGUAGUGUUCAUGUUCAUAGAACUAUUUGUCUUCAUUAGUAGGUCCAUUAAUAAAUAGGAUAUCAUUUGAAUGACUAAAACAGUCAUUGUAUUGGCCCCCUAUGGAAUGUCCUCAACCAAAUAUUUAUCAGUAAUUUCAGAUCUAAAAAUAAACUAGCUUUCUGAUGUCAUAUGAAAGAAAUCUUAAAUUAUUUUUUUAUCGUUUUUGUAGCCAUUUCAAUCUAAACAAUCUCUCAGGCACCAUGUUCUAUCCAAACUCUUCAGCGAGAAUAUGAAUUUGCUUCAUGUGAAUGAGUUUGAAGGACAAAUUCCCUCUACUUUGGGACAGUCAUAACCAGUUUGACUGUUGUGAGGCUUGACAGAAACCAGAUAACAUUUUCAAUUCCUUCCAACAUCAGCAACCUAGCAAGCCUUGAAGAACUGAUGGAAGAUUGGAAAUCUUUUGAGAAUACUAUUCAACCGGGAUGGAAAGCUGCUCUGAGCACUAUUAUUGGAUUCAUCUGGUUUUUUGUGCUCAUGGUAUACGAAAUAAGUGUUUGAAGCAUUUCACUGUAUAUGGUUUUGUAUGGAGUAAGAUGAGUGAUGCAGAAUUACAUCAUAUCAUUAGUGUUAAAUUGACCUGUAGGAUUGACAAGAGAUAAUACACAAAAAUCGAGUAACAAGUACUAAGAAAAGCAUUGAACAACAAGCUAGUUUGACAGAGAUUUUAUGGAAAGAUGCAACAAGUUUUUCAACAAAUAGAAAUAAGCAAUACCUUGCCACUGACUACCUGAGUUCACACUAAGGAUUAGAAUCAGACCAUGUACAUGCCAAUCCACAUACAUAAAUGUAUCGUUAAAAUUUUCUGUACAUUGUCUUUGUGUUGCAUAGAGCCAGAUAGAUAUUGUAAGGUUUUGUCUAAGAAACACAGUUGUUUUAUUUUCAAGGCAAUGAAAAGUUGUUCAAUACAAAAACGCCGACCCAAGAUUUUGAAGGGUAAAAUUAUUCUUUAAAGGGUGCUAGCUCAAUGGAAGAGCAUCUGCUUUACAAGCAGUAGGAUGAUGGUUCAAUUCCAUCGUACCCUAACAUGAAUUAAUCAAUGAUAUUGUAGUUUAUAUUUAGCAAUAUUAUUUAUUUGAAA